rnacentral:rRNA from 1 species
CUAUAAAUGGCGAGUGCUAUACAUGCAAGUCGAGCGGACAGAUGGGAGCUUGCUCCCUGAUGUUAGCGGCGGACGGGUGAGUAACACGUGGGUAACCUGCCUGUAAGACUGGGAUAACUCCGGGAAACCGGGGCUAAUACCGGAUGGUUGUUUGAACCGCAUGGUUCAAACAUAAAAGGUGGCUUCGGCUACCACUUACAGAUGGACCCGCGGCGCAUUAGCUAGUUGGUGAGGUAACGGCUCACCAAGGCAACGAUGCGUAGCCGACCUGAGAGGGUGAUCGGCCACACAGGGACUGAGACACGGCCCAGACUCCUACGGGAGGCAGCAGUAGGGAAUCUUCCGCAAUGGACGAAAGUCUGACGGAGCAACGCCGCGUGAGUGAUGAAGGUUUUCGGAUCGUAAAGCUCUGUUGUUAGGGAAGAACAAGUACCGUUCGAAUAGGGCGGUACCUUGACGGUACCUAACCAGAAAGCCACGGCUAACUACGUGCCAGCAGCCGCGGUAAUACGUAGGUGGCAAUCGUUGUCCGGAAUUAUUGGGCGUAAAGGGCUCGCAGGCGGUUUCUUAAGUCUGAUGUGAAAGCCCCCGGCUCAACCGGGGAGGGUCAUUGGAAACUGGGGAACUUGAGUGCAGAAGAGGAGAGUGGAAUUCCACGUGUAGCGGUGAAAUGCUUAGAGAUGUGGAGGAACACCAGUGGCGAAGGCGACUCUCUGGUCUGUAACUGACGCUGAGGAGCGAAAGCGUGGGGAGCGAACAGGAUUAGAUACCCUGGUAGUCCACGCCGUAAACGAUGAGUGCUAAGUGUUAGGGGUUUCCGCCCCUUAGUGCUGCAGCUAACGCAUUAAGCACUCCGCCUGGGGAGUACGGUCGCAAGACUGAAACUCAAAGGAAUUGACGGGGGCCCGCAUUAAGCCGGAAUCG